rnacentral:rRNA from 1 species
GUAGUCAUAUGCUUGUCUCAAAGCUUAAGCCAUGCAAGUCUCAGUACGAACUGACUUAAAGUGAAACCGCAAAAGGCUCAGUAAACCGGUCAUAGUUUACCGGAUAUAUGCCACUCACGUGGAUAACUGUGGUAAUUCUAGAGCUAAUACAUGCAAACAAGUCCCGACCAGCGAUGGAGAGGACGCUUUUAUUGGAUCAAAACCUUUCGCCCGGCCUGCCCGGGCGUCGGCUUGAUGACUCUAGAUAACACCACAGAUCGCACGGUCACAGUACCGGUGACAUAUCCUUCAAAUGUCUGACUUAUCAGCUGUCGAUGGUAGACUCUGUGUCUACCAUGGCGCUCACGGGUGACGGGGAAUCAGGGUUCGAUUCCGGAGAGGGAGCCUGAGAAACGGCUACCACAUCCAAGGAAGGCAGCAGGCACGCAAAUUACCCACUCCCGGCACGGGGAGGUAGUGACAAAAAAUAACGAUACGGGACUCAUCCGAGGCCCCGUAAUCGGAAUGAGAACACCCUAAAUCCUUUAACGAGGAUCUAUUGGAGGGCAAGUCUGGUGCCAGCAGCCGCGGUAAUUCCAGCUCCAAUAGCGUAUAUUAAAGUUGUUGCGGUUAAAAAGCUCGUAGUUGGUUCUGCGUGCCACGCUGUCGGUUCACCGCCUGCCGGUGCAACUGGCAUGCCGUGGCAUGUCC